rnacentral:rRNA from 1 species
CCACUGUCCAGCAUAGAAAAAUUGUCACUUACAGAAGGAAAGCCCUUGGGUCAAGAUGACAGUACCAGGUACAGAAGCUUGGUAGGUGCACUUCAGUAUCUAACCUUGACAAGACCUGAUCUUUCAUUUGCAGUAAAUAAGGUUUGUCAGUUUCUUCAUGCACCCACUACAACUCAUUGGACAGCUGCUAAACGUAUAGUGAGAUAUGUGAAAGAUACAGUUAAUCUUGGCCUCACUUUCAACAAGUCUUCAUCUACACUUGUUAGUGCAUUUUCAGAUUCUGACUGGGCAGGAUGUUUAGAUGAUAGACGAUCUACUGGUGGUUUUGCAGUAUUCUUUGGUCCAAACUUAAUAUCAUGGUGUGCAAAGAAACAAGCCACUGUAUCAAGGUCCAGUACUGAAGCUGAGUACAAGGCCUUGGCAAAUGCCACAGCUGAAAUUAUUUGGGUCCAGUCCAUGCUACGAGAGCUUGGUGUGAAGACUACUCAAGCUCCAUGUUUAUGGUGUGAUAAUCUUGGUGCUACUUAUCUGUCUGCU